GAUGAACGCUGACAGAAUGCUUAACACAUGCAAGUCUUUGGCUAAGCUGUGCUUGCACAGCCUAGCCGAGGCGGACGGGUGAGUAACGCGUAAGGAACUUGCGCUGCAGUCAGGGAUAACAGACGGAAACGACUGAUAAGACCGGGUGAUGUCAGGCGGACUCAUGUCCAGCCUGAUGAAAAGAGAUGCUGCAGGAGAGCCUGGCGUCCUAUUAGCUUGUUGGGGGGGUAACGGCCCACCAAGGCGAUGAUAGGUAGACGGGGUGAGAGGGUGGACGGCCACAAGGGGACUGAGAUACGGCCCUUACUCCUACGGGAGGCAGAGGUGGGGAAUAUUGGACAAUGGGGGCAAACGUGAGACAGCAAUUCUGUGUGCAAGAUGAAGGUUUUCGGAUUGUAAAGUGCUUUCAGCAGGGAAGAAAAAAUGACGGUACCGGCAGAAGAAGCGACGGCUAACUACGUG
rnacentral:rRNA from 1 species